rnacentral:rRNA from 1 species
CCUACGGGUGGCAGCAGUCGAGAAUCAUUCACAAUGGGGGAAACCCUGAUGGUGCGACGCCGCGUGGGGGAAUGAAGGUCUUCGGAUUGUAAACCCCUGUCAUGUGGGAGCAAAUUAAAAAGAUAGUACCACAAGAGGAAGAGACGGCUAACUCUGUGCCAGCAGCCGCGGUAAUACAGAGGUCUCAAGCGUUGUUCGGAAUCACUGGGCGUAAGGCGUGCGUAGGCUGUUUCGUAAGUCGUGUGUGAAAGGCGCGGGCUCAACCCGCGGACGGCACAUGAUACUGCGAGACUAGAGUAAUGGAGGGGGAGCCGGAAUUCUCGGUGUAGCAGUGAAAUGCGUAGAUAUCGAGAGGAACACUCGUGGCGAAGGCGGGUUCCUGGACAUUAACUGACGCUGAGGCACGAAGGCCAGGGGAGCGAAAGGGAUUAGAUACCCGAGUAGUC